rnacentral:piRNA from 1 species
UAGUGGCCCCUGAAACACAGCUCAUG